AUAUAAGUUGGAGCCUAAUAAAAGUUUGAAAUUAACUGAAUGUAAAUCUUAGGCUUUAAGCUCGUCAUGAGCACAAGCCGAUCGAGUUUGAACCUCUCUAAACUUGGAUGAGUUGAGCUCGAACAUAUUAAAACGUGACUCGAUUCAUUUGCAGCACACUAUGUCCCUAUCCAACGCGAGAGAGGAACCUCCCCAUGCAUGGCGAUAUUUAAUGAAAUAGUUCAAAGGCUUUUUAUUUCUUAUUUCACACUUAACUAGUUAAUACACAGGCGAUAACAAGCACAUGUCAUGAAAGUCCACACUUAACAAGCCACAACACUUGAAGGGGAAAAACAAAGAAAGAAGAAAGCACGCACAACUAGAGGAAGAAGAAGGCACAGACCACGAGAAACACAACAACAUCCCACCAUGUUUCUUAAACCUUCACCACCCAUCUUCUUCUCCCUUUUUUUUUCUGCAUACAUUAUCUUUGCAAACGAAAUUAGCACAACAAAGACCAUCCCCAUGGCAUCGUCGGCCAUCACCGACACAGGUAUCAUUCAUUUCACCAGCAAACAUGAUGUUUGAGAGUGGAAUUUGCCUCAUGGCAACCGUGGAAUAAGGAACAGUGGCCACUACGAGCAUGACCACCAUCAGAAGCAAACCAACCUUCUUGCACUCCAUGAUCUCUCCACUCUCAAUCAAUCAAUUAAGUAUCUGGAUGUAAUUAUAUAUUAUUGCAUGCAUGAUACCUCUUGGAGAGCCUGCGUUUUAUAGUGGUUGGAAUCAUGCAAAGACCAUAUCUUUUUCAUUAAUAAUUGCAAGGUCACUUGUG
rnacentral:lncRNA from 1 species